rnacentral:rRNA from 1 species
GAGUAACGCGUAGGCAACCUCGCCCCCGGUCUGGGACAACGACCCCGAAAGGGGUAGCUAAGUACCGGAUCCGAAGAUGAUACCGCAGUGGUGUUAUUUGAAAGAUGGCCUCUAUUUAUAAGCUAUCGCCGGGGGAUGGGCCUGCGUCCGGAUUAGCGUGGUUGGUGGGUAACGGCCCACCAAGGCGACGAUCGGUAGCCGGUCUGAGAGGAUGAACGGCCACAUUGGGACUGAGACACGGCCCAGACUCCUACGGGAGGCAGCAGUGGGGAAUCUUCCGCAAUGGGCGGCAAGCCUGACGGAGCAACGCCGCGUGGGUGAGGAAGUUCUUCGGAACGUAAAGCCCUGUUGUUUAUGACGAACGGGCUUCCUGUAAAUAAUGGGAAGCAGUGACGGUAAUUAGACGAGGAAGCCACGGCUAACUACGUGCCAGCCGCCGC